CACAGUAGACACGCAGCUAUUUUCCAUCCUCUCUAAUCACAUGAUCAGGGUGUCGGCAACACAUCCUCAGCGCAGGGAGGGGCCAAACAGCGCUCAGCUCACCACCAUUUUGUGUGGGUACCUGGCUCCUUUUGUUGAAUGCAUGAUGGGCACGUUGCUAAAGGAGCGUAAGCGGAUGCUGCAGACAAAACAUCACAGGGUAUCAGUGUGCCCCGACUGCAGCCCAUUCUGGAUUUCAUGUCGUGUAUUUUCUUCCUCUCUCCUUUCUCCUGGCUGUGCUCCCGACAGACCCCUCUCCUCUCUGCCAUCCGAUGUGUGAGGCGCAUAUGGUGCAGUGAAAUUGCUGUCUGCGAGAGCAUGCCUCUGCCUGUCCAGACUUCAUCAGAGGGAUUAAAGAAUGGGAUGGAAAAAAAAAUCAAAAUAAAAUGAUGAUAGCGGG